GCCUCUGGUGGCCACUAGCGGUUGACAAGUUGGACCAACACUCAUGAGAAGCAAUGGCCCGGGUGUCGGGUGCCGGCGGAUCCCUAUGCUUUUUAUUAGUUACUACGCAAUUGUAGUACCAAUGUUGGGCCUUGCCAGAAGAGUUUUAUCACAAAAUGAAAAUCAAGGGGGUCCCCAUAGCACCCCAAGCAUUUUAGGAGCACUUAGUA
rnacentral:lncRNA from 1 species